UACGGGGGGAGCAAGCGUUGUUCGGACUUACUGGGCGUAAAGGGCGCGUAGGCGGCCAGUGCAAGUCAGUUGUGAAAUCUCCGAGCUUAACUCGGAAAGGUCAACUGAUACUGCUCGGCUAGAGUGCGGAAGGGGCAACUGGAAUUCUUGGUGUAGCGGUGAAAUGCGUAGAUAUCAAGAGGAACACCUGCGGCGAAGGCGGGUUGCUGGGCCGACACUGACGCUGAUGCGCGAAAGCUAGGGGAGCGAACGGG
rnacentral:rRNA from 1 species